rnacentral:lncRNA from 1 species
GGCAUGGAACAACUGCUUCGAUAUCUCAUAUUGAGCAGUUCAAUUUUGUUCCCCAUAUAGCUCCUUACGAUUAAGGAGAAUAGAGGGAACAUCCAUGUCCUCAUGCUACAUUUGGAGUUCAUUGCUCAUGGAGGCAAGUAUGAUACAUUUCACAGUCACACUGUCAUCUUUCUACAUCUUAUAUGCGGGUCUAUCCUCCUCGAAAGCAUCUUCCCCAAG